AAAAAAGUUUUUGGCUAA
rnacentral:tRNA from 1 species